rnacentral:rRNA from 1 species
GCUCCUUUCAUUUCCGACCUCAGAUCGGACGAGAUUACCCGCUGAAUUUAAGCAUAUCACUAAGCGGAGGAAAAGAAACU